AGUGGAUGGGGAGCAACCUAGUUGUGCGUGUGUAAAGGUAGUGCCAAGAAAAGCGAUGAUCAUGUUGAAAAUCAAUUCCCGGUACCCGAAACCGACACAGGUGGGCAAGUAGAGAAUACUAAGGGGCGCGAGGUAACUCUCUCCAAGGAACUCGGCAAAAUGACCCCGUAACUUAGGGAGAAGGGGUGCCACCGAGAGGUGGUCGCAGUGAAGAGGCCCAGGCGACUGUUUAGCAAAAACAUAGGUCUCUGCAAACUCGAAAGAGGAGGUAUAGGGGCUGACGCCUGCCCAGUGCCGGAAGGUUAAAGAAGUUGGUCAGUUUUAGGAUGAAGCUAGCGACUGAAGCCCCGGUGAACGGCGGCCGUAACUAUAACGGUCCUAAGGUAGCGAAAUUCCUUGUCGGGUAAGUUCCGACCCGCACGAAAGGCGUAACGAUCUGGGCGCUGUCUCGGAGAGAGGCUCGGCGAAAUAGGAUUGUCUGUGAAGAUACGGACUACCUGCAUUUGGACAGAAAGACCCUAUGAAGCUUUACUAUAGCUUGGAAUUGUGUUCGGGCUUCCUGUGCGCAGGAUAGGUGGGAGGCGUAGAAGGUAUUCUUGUGGGGAUACUGGAGCCAACGGUGAGAUACCACUCUCAGGAGGCUAGAAUUCUAACUUAAUUAAGGACAGUUUCAGGUGGGUAGUUUGACUGGGGCGGUCGCCUCCAAAAAGGUAACGGAGGCGUACAAAGGUUCCCUCAGACUGGUUGGAAAUCAGUCGAAGAGUGCAAAGGCAGAAGGGAGCUUGACUGCGAGAAGUACAGUUCGAGCAGGGUGGAAACACGGUCUUAGUGAUCCGACGGUGCUGUGUGGAAGGGCCGUCGCUCAACGAAAAGUUACUCUAGGAUAACAGGCUGAUCUCCCCCAAGAGUUCACAUCGACGGGGAGGUUUGGCACCUCAUGUCGGCUCAUCGCAACCUGGGGCGGAAGUACGUCCCAAGGGUUGGGCUGUUCGCCCAUUAAAGCGGUACGUGAGCUGGGUUCAGAACGUCGUGAGACAGUUCGGUCCAUAUCCGAUGUAGGCGUGAGAAUAUUGAGAGGAGCCUUCCUUAGUACGAGAGGACCGGGAAGGACGCACCGCUGGUGUACCUGUUAUGAUGCCAAUUGUAAACGCAGGGUAGCCAAGUGCGGAGAGGAUAACCGCUGAAAGCAUCUAAGUGGGAAGCCCACCUCAAGAUGAGUAUUCUGGUGUAAGGUCACGGGAAGACGACCCGUAAAUAGGCACGAGGUGGAAGUGCAGAGAUGUAUGAAGCCGAAGUGUACUAAUAGACCGUCGGCUUGA
rnacentral:rRNA from 1 species